AUUUCCUUUUUCUCCUCUGCUGACUUUGUCCGUUUUCAUUCCCCACAACGAGCGGCGCGAGCUUGAGGCAGAGUCAUGACGAUUUUUAGCUAGAGAUCUCAGUCGCAGAUCUCUCGAGGGCGAGCCGGUGGUUAGGCGUCCAGUCCUCCUUCCCCCUUCCCAUCCUCUGCUUCCUUGUCCUCAAGCGCGCGCAGAGGGAGAGGCAAAAUCGAUGCGAUGGCGAUCCGGCUGCGUUGUCUUCUUUGCUUCGCUUGACUUCGGCAGCUCCUCAUUUUCCCUGUGUUGAUCUGCGAGUCUGUGUCCCCCUCCUCAUCCUCCAUCCAUGGUUGGUUUUGAUAUGUUAAUGCUAUAAGAGAAAUAUACAUUAAGGAACUUAGCUUCAUCAUGUUCGAGUGUGGAUCAUCUUCAGGUUUCUGUCAUAGAUCAUGGAGGAAUCGCCCUCUUGGUUGGUGCUUAUUCCCGUCCUCUGCAGUGCAUUUUUGUAGUGGAAAUCACAGUGGAAAUAUAGUGGAGUUAUUAGUGUAAUUUUAUAGCGUUUCAAUGUAAUUUUUAGUGCUCCUGAGUGUGAUUUGUCAUGUCCAUUUAGGUGUGUGUGUGAUUAGGUGACAGCACCCUGGUCCUUUCCUUUUUUUUCAUUUGCUCUAGUUUAGUGCACAUGUACAUGGCAAAGUUUGGUUGUAACUUUGGGUUUUUCUGUGCUCGGUUUUGUUGAUUUUCUGUCCGGGCUGGAAGCUGGAUAAGUUGGAAUGUGGACCCGUUAAGAUUAUGAUGCUGGUGUGUGGACCCGUUUAA